CAACUCCACUAGAAAUAUACAAGAUAAUAUAUUUCAGCUUGGUCGCUCGACCCCCGUGACUUCGAGCCAAAAGCACUCGAUGCUCGCGAGUCUCAGUUGUCGUUUGUUCAACGUAUUCUUUGGAAAAGACAAGUGGAGAAAUUAUUAUCGCACUUUCUGGAACCAAAAACCGUCUUACUAAAACGUCUUUACCUUCUUUCUUUUCUUGCUCACGAAGCUCACUUAGCAGAUUGAGCUGGUAAUAGAAAUGAACAUCAUGAAACAGCCGAAAAUUGGCCCAAUCAGGGAGGUGAAUGGUCUUGCGGUAGAGUUCAUUGCUGGAAGAAAACUUCGGGUGUGAACACAAGCCUCAAUAUCUGCUCACUCUGCUCCCAGAUUAUUCACUUCUCUGAUUUGGGCCAUUUUAAUUGUUUGUGCUGUUCCAUGUGGUUCAUUUCUUAUGCCAGCCCUGCUCGAAACUUGUGUGCCUUCUCAUGUUUGAAUCAGAGUUGAAAGCAAUGCAGAACCAGGAUUCCAAUUGAUUCUUCGACUUUCUCGAGCUUCAAACAAGAGGGGAAGAGAUUUGUGAUGAGAAUCCGACGACCGAGAUGGAAGGUGCCGUAGAUGUGGAGAGGGUUAUGUGAGGUCGAUCGAGUCAAGUUGGAGCGAGUCAUCAUGGUAAAACUCGGGAGCCAACUAGGUCUGGAAAUGCCACUCAACUCACCAGCUUCUCAUUUAAAGUCUUUUCUUUUGCUUUGAAUAUUUGACUCAAUAGGUCAUUCGUAUGUAUUAUUGCAUUAAACUUGCCUAAAGAUAUUGUAAAUUUGCAAUACAACUCAACAAGAUAAUACUUUAAA